rnacentral:rRNA from 1 species
UACGUAGGGCGCAAGCGUUGUCCGGAAUUAUUGGGCGUAAAGAGCUCGUAGGUGGUCUGUUGCGUCCGCUGUGAAAACCCAGGGCUUAACCCUGGGCUGGCAGUGGAUACGGGCAGACUAGAGGUAGGUAGGGGAGAAUGGAAUUCCCGGUGUAGCGGUGAAAUGCGCAGAUAUCGGGAAGAACACCGGUGGCGAAGGCGGUUCUCUGGGCCUUACCUGACACUGAGGAGCGAAAGCGUGGGGAGCGAACAGG